rnacentral:rRNA from 1 species
UUCCAGACUCCUACGGGAGGCAGCAGUGAGGAAUAUUGGUCAAUGGGCGAGAGCCUGAACCAGCCAAGUCGCGUGAAGGAUGACGGCCCUACGGGUUGUAAACUUCUUUUGUCAGGGAGCAAUUGGGUCCACGUGUGGGCUUAGCGAGAGUACCUGAAGAAAAAGCAUCGGCUAACUCCGUGCCAGCAGCCGCGGUAAUACGGAGGGUGCGAGCGUUAAUCGGAAUUACUGGGCGUAAAGCGCUCGUAGGCGGUAUGUCAAGUCAAGGGUGAAAUCCCCGCGCUCAACGUGGGAACUGCCUUUGAAACUGGCAAACUGGAGUGUGUGAGAGGAUAGUGGAAUUCCAGGUGUAGGAGUGAAAUCCGUAGAUAUCUGGAGGAACAUCAGUGGCGAAGGCGACUAUCUGGCACAUAACUGACGCUGAGGAGCGAAAGCGUGGGUAGCAAACAGGAUUAGAUACCCUUGUAUA